rnacentral:rRNA from 1 species
AAUUUUAAUCCUCAACCACUACUGAGUAAUUCUAUACCCCUAUAGAAAAUUUUAUGUUAAAACUAGUAACAAGAAGAAGAUCCUUCUCUUAAAUGCAAGCGUAAAUCAGAAAGGACAAACCACUGAUAUCUACCAUUCCUGAACCAGAAAUAGAAACUUAUCAAGAAAACCCUACUUACAUUCAUGUUAACCUUACACUAGAGCAUUUCAAGAAAGAUUAAAAGAAAAAGAAGGAACUCGGCAAAUAUUAACCUCGCCUGUUUACCAAAAACAUCGCCUCUUGAAUUAAUAUAAGAGGUCCAGCCUGCCCAGUGACCCUGUUCAACGGCCGCGGUAUCCUAACCGUGCGAAGGUAGCGUAAUCACUUGUUCUUUAAAUGAGGACUAGUAUGAACGGCAUCACGAAGGUUAUACUGUCUCCUUUUUCUAAUCAGUGAACCUAAUCUCCCCGUGAAGAAGCGGGGAUAAAAUUAUAAGACGAGAAGACCCUAUGGAGCUUAAAACAAUACAGCACCUGCUAAAAAUUUAACAAAUUUCAGAAUUUUCCAUUUUCUAAGCACCAUGACUGUAAGUUUUUGGUUGGGGUGACCACGGAGCACAAAAUAACCUCCAUGUUGAAAGAAUUUUAUUCUAAGCCAAAAAUUACAAUUUUAAGCAUCAAUAAAUUGACAUCUAUUGACCCAAUAUACUUGAACAACGAACCAAGUUACCCUAGGGAUAACAGCGCAAUCCACUUCAAGAGCUCCUAUCGACAAGUGGGUUUACGACCUCGAUGUUGGAUCAGGGUUUCCAGUGGUGCAGCCGC